rnacentral:rRNA from 1 species
AUUGAACGCUGGCGGCAGGCCUAACACAUGCAAGUCGAACGAAUGGCGGACGGGUGAGUAAUGUCUGGGAAACUGUCUGCUGGAGGGGGAUAACUACUGGAAACGGUAGCUAAUACCGCAUACCCAGAGAUCUGCCCAGAUGGGCUUAGCUAGUGUGUGGCGUAAUUGCUCACCUAGGCGACGAUCCCUAGCUGGUCUGCGAGGAUGACCAGUCACAUGGGAACUGAGACACGGUCUAGGCUCCUACGUGAGGCAGAAGUGGGGAAUAUUGCACAAUGGGCGCAAUCCUGAUGCAGCCAUGCCGCGGGUGUGAUGAAGGCCUUCGGGUUGUAAAGUACUUUCAGCGGGGAGGCGUUACCCGCAGAAGAAGCACCGGCUAACUCCGUGCCAGCCGCCGCGGUAAUUC